rnacentral:rRNA from 1 species
AUUGAACGCUGGCGGCGUGCCUAACACAUGCAAGUCGAGCGGUAACAGGUGUAGCAAUACAUGCUGACGAGCGGCGAACGGGUGAGUAAUGCUUCGGAAUCUACCCAAUGGUGGGGAAUAACCAGCCGAAAGGUUGGCUAAUACCGCAUACGUCCCACGGGAGAAAGCAGGGGAUCGCAAGACCUUGCGCCAAUGGAUGAGCCGAAGUCGGAUUAGCUAGUUGGAGGGUAACGGCCUACCAAGGCGACGAUCCGUAGCUGGUCUGAGAGGACGACCAGCCACACUGGGACUGAGACACGGCCCAGACUCCUACGGGAGGCAGCAGUGGGGAAUAUUGGACAAUGGGGGAAACCCUGAUCCAGCGACGCCGCGUGUGUGAAGAAGGCCUGCGGGUUGUAAAGCACUUUUAGUGGGAUGAAAUGUUCAGGGUUAACACCUCUGGAUUUUGACCUACCCAACAGAAAAGCACCGGCUAACUCUGUGCCAGCA